rnacentral:rRNA from 1 species
GUGGAUUAGAUACCCUGGUAGUCCACGCCGUAAACGAUGAUCACUCGCUGUUAGCGAUAUACAGUUAGCGGCUAAGCAAAAGCAUUAAGUGAUCCACCUGGGGAGUACGGCCGCAAGGCUGAAACUCAAAGGAAUUGACGGGGGCCCGCACAAGCGGAGGAACAUGUGGUUUAAUUCGAUGAUACGCGAGGAACCUUACCUGGGCUUAAAUGUAGAGUGCAUGAGGUAGAAAUACUUCUUUUCUUCGGACCUCUCUGCAAGGUGCUGCAUGGUCGUCGCCAACU